rnacentral:rRNA from 1 species
CCUACGGGUGGCAGCAGUGAGGAAUAUUGGUCAAUGGCCGCAGGGCUGAACCAGCCAAGUCGCGUGAGGGAUGACGGUCCUAUGGAUUGUAAACCUCUUUUGUCAGGGAGCAAAGGGCGCCACGUGUGGCGCUUUGCGAGUACCUGAAGAAAAAGCAUCGGCUAACUCCGUGCCAGCAGCCGCGGUAAUACGUAGGUGGCAAGCGUUGUCCGGAUUUACUGGGUGUAAAGGGCGUUUAGCCGGGAAGGCAAGUCAGAUGUGAAAUCCGGAGGCUCAACCUCCGAAUUGCAUUUGAAACUGUGUUUCUUGAGUACUGGAGAGGCAGACGGAAUUCCUUGUGUAGCGGUGAAAUGCGUAGAUAUAAGGAGGAACACCAGUGGCGAAGGCGGUCUGCUGGACAGCAACUGACGGUGAGGCGCGAAAGCGUGGGGAGCAAACAGGAUUAGAUACCCUUGUAGUC